AUUGAACGCUGGCGGCAGGCCUAACACAUGCAAGUCGAGCGGAUGAAGGGAGCUUGCUCCUGGAUUCAGCGGCGGACGGGUGAGUAAUGCCUAGGAAUCUGCCUGGUAGUGGGGGAUAACGUCCGGAAACGGGCGCUAAUACCGCAUACGUCCUGAGGGAGAAAGUGGGGGAUCUUCGGACCUCACGCUAUCAGAUGAGCCUAGGUCGGAUUAGCUAGUUGGUGGGGUAUAGGCCUACCAAGGCGACGAUCCGUAACUGGUCUGAGAGGAUGAUCAGUCACACUGGAACUGAGACACGGUCCAGACUCCUACGGGAGGCAGCAGUGGGGAAUAUUGGACAAUGGGCGAAAGCCUGAUCCAGCCAUGCCGCGUGUGUGAAGAAGGUCUUCGGAUUGUAAAGCACUUUAAAUUGGGAGGAAGGGCAGUAAGUUAAUACCUUGCUGUUUUGACGUUACCAACAGAAUAAGCACCGGCUAACUUCGUG
rnacentral:rRNA from 1 species